rnacentral:rRNA from 1 species
AGAGUUUGAUCCUGGCUCAGAGCGAACGCUGGCGGCGUGCUUAACACAUGCAAGUCGAGUGCGCGUUUCGUAGCAAUACGAAAUGGCGCACGGCGCACGGGUGCGUAACACGUGGGUAACCUGCCCUUUGAUGGGGAAUAACCCCGGGAAACCGGGGCUAAUUCCGCAUAAGAUCCGCAAGGAUGAAAGCCGAGAGGCGUCGAAGGAGGGGCCCGCGCACGAUUAGCUAGUUGGUAGGGUAACGGCCUACCAAGGCUAUGAUCGUUAGCUGGUCUGAGAGGAUGGCCAGCCACACUGGAACUGAGACACGGUCCAGACUCCUACGGGAGGCAGCAGUGGGGAAUCUUGCACAAUGGGCGAAAGCCUGAUGCAGCGACGCCGCGUGGGGGAUGAAGCUUCUCGGAGUGUAAACCCCUUUCGACCGGGACGAAUGCCCGCAAGGGACUGACGGUACCGGUAUAAGAAGCCCCGGCUAACUACGUGCCAGCAGCCGCGGUAAGACGUAGGGGGCCAGCGUUGCUCGGAAUUACUGGGUGUAAAGGGUUCGUAGGCGGUGUGGCAAGUCGGGAGUGAAAUCUCUGGGCUCAACCCAGAGGCUGCUUCCGAAACUGCUGUGCUUGAGUGUGGGAGAGGCGCGUGGAAUUGCAGGUGUAGCGGUGAAAUGCGUAGAUAUCUGCAGGAACACCCGUGGCGAAAGCGGCGCGCUGGACCACUACUGACGCUGAGGAACGAAAGCUAGGGGAGCAAACAGGAUUAGAUACCCUAGUAGUCC